UCUUCUGUGAUGAUUAACAUAGUGACUUUCGUUCUUCUGAGAUCACUGAAGCCACUCCUAUGUCCUGAGAAGA
rnacentral:snoRNA from 1 species